AGAAGGAGAAGAAGGAGAAGAAGAAGAAGAAGAGCCUUGCAAAUGCAUCUCCAGGCAACUCCCAGGGCUGCAGGGCUUCCACCUGUACCUCAGAACAGACAGGCCGAGUACAGCUGAGACCCGAGUGAGGCGUUAGCUGGCAGAAAAACCUGCAUCUCUCUGGCAACUCGACUCUCACCAGUACUUUCCUGAGAGCAAGGCAUUUGCCCGCAGCACAUUCUUCCAGGCCGAGUGCUGGCGCUCUAUCAGGCCACAUGCUGCAAUUACUCCAGCAAGUUAGUGCAGCUCCUUCAUUUCAGCACUGGUCUCCAGCUGCCCACGCCUUCCAGAGGAUUCACUGAGGAGGAGACACUGAUGCCCACGUGAUGUCUGGGUAGGCAUAGUCACUUGCCCUGGCCAUAGAUCACCAUCUAUACAUGCAGCUCUAUUAGAGAGGACUCCUGCACUAGUUAACCAUGUCUGUGCACAGCUGAGGGGCCCAUGCCUAUGGUGGGCAGGAAAGCUGUGGCUUUUACAGUGUCUUCCCAGCAUCCUCUCCCUACACCCAGACAUGGCCUUGGAUAUGACCACUCCUAGCUUGCUUAUUUAACCUAUACUUACUGAGAAUGGAUCCAGACCAGAGUGUACCUGGGUAGGCAGUGAGAUAGACUCCUUUUCUAAGUCACUAGGUGAAGUGGGAACUUCCCUACAGACUCCCCACAGAGCCUGGGCAUGUGGGAACUCUUACCACAGAAAAGAUACAUGACAUUGCUUAGUGCCAGAGGUCGAGUUGAUAGUACAGGUUAUAAAGUGUUCCUGGGAAGGCUAUGGUAAACUGCAGGGCUAUAGGUGGUCUAGACAGAGCAGGGACACUGAGUUACUGGGACACUCUGGUGUAGUCAUGGAGACUCCAACUAGUCCUUCUGCUGGCUGUAUGGCCAGGACCUGCCUGCCUUUUUAGAAACUGCCCUCUCUCUCCCAGAUGCAUCUUGACCUCCUCUACUGAGGAACCCGUCUGUAUUUAUUACUUUUCUCAUCACUUUGACAGAAGCUUUAUGGGAGAGGAAGAUUUGCUUUGGACCCAGGUUUAGUUCAUCCGGACAGGACAGGUGUGGUGAUGGGAGCAGCUUGGUCCAUGUGGGUAGGAGCAGGAGGCCACUGCUUGUUCACAUCACAGAAAAUGAAAAGGCUAGAGCUGCAGACCAGAGCCUUCAAAAGGCCAGGCUCUGAUGACCUAUGUCUGUCCCCUACACCCCUCAUCCCCAAAAUAGUGGAAACUUUCUGGGGCCCAGGUGUUCAAACGUGGGAAUCUUUUGGGUGGCUUCAGACCUAAACCAUACACCUUUCCUGAUCUCUGUCACCAAGAACCUUCCUCAGGGCUCCUUGAGGGCAGACACAGAGUGGCCCAACCCAGCCAAAAGGGAGAACAAAGGUGCUGAGCUGCAUGGCUGCCCAGAGAGAGAAGCUGGACCCACCCCCAGCUGCCCACAUUCUAUCCUGGCCUCCCUACCCAUCUCUUCCUGGUUCCCAAACAUGCAGGACGCACCACACAUUCUGCAUCUGACUUCUAAACAAAACGGAAACAAAGGCACUUCCUUAGGAAGGCUCAACGCCCGAUGUUUGUUCUUCUUAUUGGAACCCUGGGUCCUCAGAAGCAGAAGGGUCUCACGUGGAGAUUUUCAGCAAGCCUGAGAGUGAUGACCCUGUCUUUUCACCAGGAAUUGUGGGUGGGAGCUGGCAAGGUACUGGUGGAGGAGGGAUGCUGGAUUUGGCCAGCAAUGGUUAACAAGCAGGGAGGGAAGUGGAGUAGCUUCUGCACAUCAUCCGAAUCCUCAAGGGACAGGAGCUUAUAAAGUGCUAAUGUGGCCACGAAGGGGCUGAUGAACAGAGGCUUGUCCUAGGCUGGCCCUGGGUCAUCAGCUGCCCUUGGCCUGGAGUGUGGACAGUGACCAGCAUCCAUCUUUUACAGUGCUAGCCUGGGCCGUCCCAUGUGUGGCCCAUGACUCCUGUUGCUGCUCCAGGCCCUAGAGUUACUGCCUUACCCCCAUAUCCUGAGUCUGAUGUUCCAUGCAGCCCAGCCCAUCCUCCCCAAACAGGGUGCAACUCUGUGGCGUCCCGUCGCUCAACAGAAGCAUGGCCUCAUUUCCCAUGGUCCUUUAUCACCAAAGCUGGGACAGGCUGUAUUGCAAACAGGGAGAGGUCCUGGUCACUGAAACCUGCUCUAAGGUCACUAUAAGUGGACAGGGACUCUAAACACCUAGCCUCUGGGUGUUCAUAUUCUGUUUUGUGAAUUUGUGUAUUCAAUAUUUAUCCAAAUUCCUGAAAUUUCCCAAAUAUGAAAAUAUAUACCUCAAGACAGAAGAUUAUUGAAGUCCAAUGAACUUUGUCCCCCUGUGCUCUGUUGGGGUCCCCUUUCCUCUAACACCUGCCCCUGGAGGGCAUGAAAGCUAUAGCUAAAGAUGUCACCAUGUCUUUCUGAUCAUCCAGCCUUUCUGUCCUGUCUACGUGACAAUUCACCUCCAAUACGGUCGUUGCAGCUAAAGACUAAACAUCCUUCAAGUCCUACGUUGAGACACCACUGCUCUGACCGCCCACCUGACCUUUCCUGGCCCCAGGAAACAACCUGUGAAUGAGGAGAUAGAUGGAAGAUCCAUGAGCAGGCCACCAGUUCACUAGUCACAGUCCCAUCUAGGGCUCAUGGGACUAAACAGUCAGGGUUCCUUUGUUGUCAAAUGCUGCAUGGAGGUUAGAUGGAUGCUGAGCUGGCCAAUAGGACUUUCUUUUCCCUGCAGACUCAGUCCCAUCUGGGCUGAGUGGAGCCAAUUAACAUCCUGAUAGGGCUCCAAAGCUGCUGAGUUGCUGGGUUCUGUCCUUUACAGGAAUGGAGAAAGCCUGACCCAGGCAUGCAGCUUUCUAGGCCACUGCCUGUGACCUGAGACCCCGAUCCAGAACCUGGGAGGAGUUCCUAUGAGACUGACUUUUGCACCCCACGAGUGACACCACAGCCUGACUCUGAGUCUUUUCAUUUGCCCUCUGUUCUUCUCAACUCUGAGAUUCUCAACCAAGGUUCAUUUGGCUUGCGUUCUGCCUGAGUUAUGUUCUAAACACAUUCUAAGGAAGAGCCGCGUUUAUAGGAACUUGCUGUUCCUUCAUCCAAUAGAUGUUUCUUGGUUUAGGGUGAAAAUUGAAUCAGGAUUCCAAAGCGACUGCACAUGGCCAAGUCCUCUUGUGUUGGGCUGACGGUACCAUGUGCUUCUGGCAGUGCUGGCUUCACUCCUCAUGUUGGCCCAGGUACAGACAUUGUGUAGAGUAUUUCUCUACAGGGUUCUACUUUCCUACUGCCAGUGUCAUUUCAGACACUUCCUUUUCUAGAAAACACUUUGGUCCCAGUACCACAUGGCAUCAGAUGUCUUAGCCCAGGCAAGGAUGACAGAGUGGGCAGCUAAGCACAGUGUGUACACAGGUAGAUCUGUCCUGGUUAAUUUUACGUCAACUUGAUUGUCAACUAGAGUCAUUUGGGAAGAGGAACUCUCCAUGGAGAAAAUGCUUCCAUAAGAUUGUCUAAUAGACAAGUCUGUUGAUAUUUUUCAUAAUGAUUGAUGAGGAAACUCCAACCCAUUCUGGGCAGUGCCACCCCUGGGAAGGUGGUCCUGGAUUGUGUAAGAAAGCAGGAUGAAUGGGAUAUGAGAAGCAAGCCAAGAAGUGUUCCUCCAGGGCUUCUGCUUUAGUUCCUGAUUCUAGGUUCCUGCACUGGGUUCCUGCCUUACAUCCCUCAAGGCUGAACUGUGAUAUGGGAUAUAAACUGAAAUAAACCUUCUCCUCCUCAAGUUGCUUUUGGUCAUGCUGAUUUAUUAACAACAGAAACUGUCUUAACUAUUUCUUCUUUUGCCACUACCAUGGCCAAAAAUCCGACCAAAGCAACUUAAAGAAGAAAUGACCAUCAUGUGGAGGAGCAUGGCAGUAGACAGGCAGGCAUGGUGUUGGAACAGUGGCUGAGGGCUGACAUUGGAUCCACAACCAGGAGGCAGACAAAGAGCUAACUGGCAAUGGUGUAGGUGUUUGGAACCUCAAAGCCCCACCCAGCGACACACCUCCUCCAACAAGGUUCCACAUUCUAACCCUCCCCAAGCAGUUUCACCAACUGAGGACCGAGUAUUCAAAAAGAUUAUUUUAUGGGGCCAUUCACAUUCAAAACACCACAAAAAAAAAACACCCUGACACAUGCACAAACAACACACUUACAUGUACAUAGCACAGAUGUGUAUACCACACACACACACAGGCAUGCAAGUGACUCGCUCACUGAUACACAGACAUAGAAGCAAUGUCCCACACCCCCAUGAUGCAAUAUGCACACCAGGCAGCCUUACACACAGGUUUAUACACAACUCCCACAAACAACUGUGUCUUCCCCCAAUCCCUUUUCAGUGCUCAUCUACCACUAAUCUGUUCUCCAUUUUCCCUACCUUUCUACUUUAAGAAUGACAGGAACAUGGAAUUAUAGCGUGUACAACCUCUUAGAGUUGUCCGUCCUCAGUCAUCAUAAGUUUGGAGGUACAUUAAACUUCCCUGUCAAUUACUUUUCAUUCUUCAUUCAUUCAUUCAUU
rnacentral:sRNA from 1 species